AAAUUGAAGAGUUUGAUCAUGGCUCAGAUUGAACGCUGGCGGCAGGCCUAACACAUGCAAGUCGAACGGUAACAGGAAACAGCUUGCUGUUUCGCUGACGAGUGGCGGACGGGUGAGUAAUGUCUGGGAAACUGCCUGAUGGAGGGGGAUAACUACUGGAAACGGUAGCUAAUACCGCAUAAUGUCGCAAGACUAAAGAGGGGGACCUUCGGGCCUCUUGCCAUCGGAUGUGCCCAGAUGGGAUUAGCUAGUAGGUGGGGUAACGGCUCACCUAGGCGACGAUCCCUAGCUGGUCUGAGAGGAUGACCAGCCACACUGGAACUGAGACACGGUCCAGACUCCUACGGGAGGCAGCAGUGGGGAAUAUUGCACAAUGGGCGCAAGCCUGAUGCAGCCAUGCCGCGUGUAUGAAGAAGGCCUUCGGGUUGUAAAGUACUUUCAGCGGGGAGGAAGGGAGUAAAGUUAAUACCUUUACUCAUUGACGUUACCCGCAGAAGAAGCACCGGCUAACUCCGUGCCAGCAGCCGCGGUAAUACGGAGG
rnacentral:rRNA from 2 species